UCGAGUUCAGUAGACUUUGGAGCCAGCCCCAGGCUCAGACUUAGCAUGUCUUUUUGGAAGCUCAGUAUCUGAUUAUUAUUAAGAUGUGAGAGGCUCCUGUGAAGCAGAAGCCUUAGGAUUCCUGUCGAAAUGAGACUUGAAGCAGUGAAAGGAAGGAAAACUGAAUCUGCUGGGCGGCAUCCUGCCCUACACUCAGGAAACUCAACACUGCUUCAGGAACAGAGGGCAGAUAUGGAAGGGAUGUGCUCAGGUGACUGGAGAUAUUUCAGCAUGAUAUCACGUAGCCUGCAGUUCCCAGUGCAAGCAGCACACAGGAACUUGCUUUUUUCUGGGAUCUCAGUUAGGGGUGUUAAAGUGCUUUAUCUGCAGGAAUCUGUGUCUGCCAUGUCCCAGAUAAAUGCUGGGAGAGGAGCAGAGCACUGUGCUCACAGGCUGCCCCAUCAUCUGUUUUGUUAAUGGCUCCAUCGCUUGCCCGCCUGGAGAAGGUGAUGCUCACCAUGCAUCAGGAGGACAGCUGAACGUGACUUACAGGCUUGGGUGCCAGAGGAGAACCAUUCCCACUUCCUAACAGAGCCCCAGGAGAGAAAACACUCAGCUCUUCCACUUCCACUUGUGAGUGAAAAAAGCAACAUGGAACUUUGUUGAUUGCUCACAAUAAUUGUCACUGGCAAGGGCAAGAAUAGGACAAGUGGGGAGUGAUACUUUUUCAGUGCACCCUCCCCAUCGAGAUGCUCAGGACUCCCCAGGACAGAGGCACUUCUUAGUUUUUCUAGUCUUCUAGGCAUUUAAUACUUCCUUUUCCACUAAAUGUCACCGAGGAAGCUUCACCUUCACAAUCCUGCAAGUGUUUUGGAGUCGUGGUUCACACUGGGUGACAUGUGAUGUCUUUUAUCCAACGCAAGACUAAAAUAGCAGAUGAGAAGAGUGUUUUCCUUGCCGGGGCUGUCCAGGAGCCCUUUCACAUCUGAGGGGUUGGGGUUUGGGGCGAAGGAUGGCUGCCAUGCCUGGCAGAGGACAAGCUGGUAAAUGAAUUUCAGACUAAUGGAGGUGGGUGUUAAAUAUUUGCUGUACUUGAGCAGGACGGCCUUUGUCACUAAUUACCAGGAGAUGUUAAAGGAGAUGGGAUGUAUUUAAACCUCAUUGUUUGCCACUAAAGCACAGACUCUCUUACUUCUUUUCUGGCCUAAGCAGCUAAUACAUUUCAAGCAAUAGCAGAAGGGCUUGGUGGAUUAAUUACUUUCCUUGGAAAUAAAAAGUGAUUUAAUUUAGUGCA
rnacentral:lncRNA from 1 species